AGGUAGCUUGCUACUGGACCUAGCGGCGGACGGGUGAGUAAUACUUAGGAAUCUGCCUAUUAGUGGGGGACAACGUUCCGAAAGGAGCGCUAAUACCGCAUACGCCCUACGGGGGAAAGCAGGGGAUCUUCGGACCUUGCGCUAAUAGAUGAGCCUAAGUCGGAUUAGCUAGUUGGUGGGGUAAAGGCCUACCAAGGCGACGAUCUGUAGCGGGUUUGAGAGGAUGAUCCGCCACACUGGGACUGAGACACGGCCCAGACUCCUACGGGAGGCAGCAGUGGGGAAUAUUGGACAAUGGGCGCAAGCCUGAUCCAGCCAUGCCACGUGUGUGAAGAAGGCCUUAUGGUUGUAAAGCACUUUAAGCGAGGAGGAGGCUUACCUAGCUAAUACCUAGGAUAAGUGGACGUUACUCGCAGAAUAAGCACCGGCUAACUCUGUGCCAGCAGCCGCGGUAAUACAGAGGGUGCAAGCGUUAAUCGGAAUUACUGGGCGUAAAGCGCGCGUAGGUGGCCAUUUAAGUCAAAUGUGAAAUCCCCGAGCUUAACUUGGGAAUUGCAUUCGAUACUGGAUGGCUAGAGUAUAGGAGAGGAAGG
rnacentral:rRNA from 1 species